AGGUCAACAAGACCAAAAAAAGUAAAAUGUAGUAAAACCACAACGAAAACGAACCGAAAUCGGCUCAUGUUCGAUCUGGUCCAAGACCCGACCUUCCCUCUCGCCGGAUCAGUGCUUCUCUCAGUUUGAAUACUAGAGGUAUUGGUUCCAUUGUGACAAAUUCCCAAUUGGAUUUAUAAACUUGAAUUGAUUGGUCUCGCAGCAAGCAAGAGCGAUUGGAGUUCCUCUAUGAUUCGAGAUUGGCCGUAGGGCGCCCCGGUGGCUCUGAUAAUUUCAAGGAAGCUUUUGAAAACCGUCUUCUUUCUCCGCCACUGCAAAAGUAUUUAUAAUCUUUUUAGAUUACUGAUUGUACGCAUUGAGAGGUAUAAAAUUUGAUGAAAGUUGCGAGGUUCUGAACUUCUGAUGAUUUGUUUAUCUCUGCUUCAGGAGGCGUCAUCAUCUGUGCCGGGGUUGGUGGUGGGGAUAACAACGGAGGAUCAGAUAAUGGAGCAGCCUUUAAUGAAGGAUUUGGCGAUGAAUAUCAGCUUGGUGAUGCUAUGGAGACUUGAUCCGGCUGGUCGCAAUGCAUGUUUGGGUAGUGAAACAACAACAUGGACUUCAAACAAUCAGGUCUUGCGGAGAUGCCUGCUCUAGUUCUUCAAAUGACUUACUUUUGGUGAGGCAGACAUCAUUCUUGCUGCAAGAAGUCCCUUGAACAGGGGGUUGUACAUCUCACAAUUGGGGACUUCCGCAAGGAUUUGAAAGGUGUGACCCCUAGGUCCUAGGAUGAGGAUCUCGACUUGAAUCACUCUGAGAAUUAUUUUGGGAGCGAAUGUUAAGAGAUAAGAACAGAUGAAGGAGCUCUUAUCAGUUUGCCUACCAUAGCUGAAGGGGUAGGUUCACUCUGGAUCAGGCCAUUAAGAAGAAACUCGAUUGAGAUUAUGAAUCAAUACAUAGUUGUGUACUAUGAAAUACUAGUGGUCUUUGUCGUGCUAUGAGAAUGCAUUACAAUUUGGGAUUGGUAUCUACAAUUUGGUGUUAGAGCUUCUGUUAAUUAUGGGUUUUCUUGUUUGCAUGUUUCAAGAAUAUUGGAGCAGUUACUAGGAAAAUUUCUUCUUGUGAAGAAGAUUCAA